rnacentral:lncRNA from 1 species
CACACACAGGCCAGUGGUCACAAUCUCAACACCUGAGUUUUCUAUAAACGGAUUGGCAUCAGCAGAACGCAAACAGUGAUGUGGAGGGACACGGUGAGCUUGGCAGGAGCCAUGCGGCAACAGCUCUCUCAAGUGGCAGCAGGGCCGAGCCACAGAUUUAUCAGAGGUUGCAGCUGAACGUGGCCAUGAGGUAAACCCUGCCCUUGGUUGAAAUUUAGUUUCAUCAGCUUCUACAUGGAAUUAUAAGGACUUGGAAAAGAUCACAAAACCCAACAGGUUUUUCUUUUUUUAAGGUUUAU